rnacentral:lncRNA from 1 species
CAGAUCAGCUGCUUUCUGCAUGCAUGGAAAGAAAGGAGAAAGAACCUCCAGCAUAACCCAAAGGACAGGUCCUGGGGUUUCUUUCUCUCCAACUCACUCUGCACGUUUCUACUCUCCAUGUGUUUUGAAAGACUUGAUCAGUGUCGCUCAGAAGCAUUGCCAUGGACGCCCAGCUUCCUGAACAUGGCCUACUUGACCUCAGUGAAGUACUCCAGAAUGUCAGUAAUCAUCUCAUUACCUGCUGGGACUGUUUGCACUUACCAUGCAAGACCUUCAGUACCACUGAUCAGCAAUCCCAUUCUUAUCACAUCGGCUUCCCAGCUUUCAGCAGCAGCUUCAGUGGUGACAGGGCUGGAGCUGCUGCUGCGUGCCUUGGAGAUAAAAAAAGAACACCAUAUCUGACUCACUAAGUUAACAUCUAUCAGCUCUGCCAACACCGUGUUCAGUGUCUGGGAAGCUGAUACAAUAAAUUUCUGCCCAUAUUGAAUGUACCUAGUGGCUUCACUGAGGAACUGCAAAACCUCGUCACCUCAGUCCAACCGUGACAUGCAGCACUCCACACAUUUUCCCAUGUGCAUUAUUUUCACUUUUAUCCAUGUGAUCAAACUUUGAAAACUGAAAAGAAGAAAACAGCUCUAAAGAUCUGCAAAGAAUAAGCAGUACCAAAUAACGUUUGAGGGUGAUACGGCAGAAGAAGAAAACGGACUAACAAUUUGUGAAUUACAGCCAUGCCUCGAGCGUCCUGGAGCAGAAGGCUGCCCAGAAUCCUGGUAGCAACAGAAGAAAAUGAAGAGAACUUGGGAACGAGCUGGACAAGCUACAGCAUGGACAUAUCUGCAGUCUCUGGCAUUUCUGUCUAACCUCUAGCUCUCUCAACUCUCCUUCCCAAUUAGCCAUAAGUGGACCUGCAAAUGACAGCUGAAGACAUCUCUAACUGAUGAGAGGCUCUGCACAAUUCCUGGAAGUUCCUGAAAGGUUAAAUGGUUCAGAAGAGAUAGCAGCUGCCUGUGCCUCCACCUACAUUCCUUCAGCUUCUGACCCGCAUUAAAAUAUAUAAUUUAAUAUGACAACUUAAUUCCAAACUUUAAAGAAAAAAUAAGAAGUUGAUUAUGAUUGGCAUGGAAAUUACAUCCUCCUGUUAGUUCUCAUUUUAUGCCAGCACGGUCAUUCCAGCCUUUGUCAUUCACGUGCAAGCAGGAUGAAGAGCCAGCUCACUCCAGCUUUCUGCCCUGGUGAGUGAGAAGAGCCCAGAAGCAAAGGGCUUUUGAGAGUCACUUGUCACAACUAAGGUGUAAAGCCCACACUCUUACUCAGGAGUAGGUGUUUGCUGAUAAAACCUAGUAAACUACAAUCUGUAUUUUGUGAUUAAGGCUUUUGCUUUGCUGAUUCUGGAGAACAUACUGAUACCGGCUUAAAAAUACUGGCAAGAAUUUUGUAUACCUCCUUGAUCAAAUGGUUCAAGCUAAUUAGAAGAGCAUGUCAUUAUCAUCUGUACAUCUGGGUUGAUAUUAGACUAAUAAGAGGUGCUUUCAUACCAACUGUUGUGAAAACCUGCAAAUCUAACAACUCUCUUCUGUACACCAGCCAAACUCUUGACUGACCUCUGAAUGUCAGCUUAAAAGUCACCUUUUAUUUUAAUUCACUGACAUUGUAAAUAUGUUCUGCACUGUACCAGAUAAACAACCCUCAGAUCCUUUUGGAAAACACUGACUGUGGGGGUUAGUUUCAUGUAGCACUUAUUCUCACUUGAAAUUUCUCUGAGUGUCCUUAGUGUCUUUCUAGAAUCUAACUCAGUCUCAUAUGAAAUGUCACUUACAAAUCCAAGAAAUGAGUCCCUUUCUGAUAAACCUUUGGCUGCUUCCCGUAAGUAGUAUUUUGGGAAGCGGGCCUUGACAAAUAUUUUACUUUUCUCUGAGUUCUAAAAGUAUACAUAUACGCAGAUAUGCACAUAUCAAUGACUUCAUUGUUUAUGAAAGUGAAAAAUCAACCAAUGGAUUAAUGAUUUUGUUUAUUCCUACUUCUUUUCUACUUGUGUUCCUAGUGAGACUUGGAUUUCUUUAAUAUUUUAUUUAUAGUCUAGUUUAACAUUACAAUUUUCAUUGUAUUUAUGCCAACUGGUCCUGCAGAACUGCUGUAAGUCUUAAAAUAAUUUUCUGUAUUGUCAAAAUGCUAUUUAAAGCAGGUUAGCAUUUAAGUAUGGUUCACUGGAAGACAGUUCACUGUCUUCCAGUGACUUCCCAUCACUUUUGCUCAGUUUAGAAGCAAAAGCAUGCUGGUGGUUUUCAAAUAAAGUGAGGCUUAGCUCUUCCUGGCUCAUGUCUUGUCACCUUUAAAUUCAUCCGAGUUGCAGUAUGAUAUUACUGUAGAAAAUUAGGGAGGUCUUGAGAAGCACAAAUGCCAGGAAAGCACCACAAGGUACAAAUCAUUUCUAAGAACCACACAUAUUACUUGUGAUGGGCAAGUGGCAGUGCACAGAGAUAAGAUGAAUGGUAUCUCCUUAGCAACCAUACAUGUGACCUCUGAGAUUGGGGAAAAAAAAAACACACAAAACCACCAUAGUAUUUUAGCUACAAAUGGCCUAAGCCAGAUGGAGAUAAAAACACAUGGCUUAUAUCAUCAAUUUUAGAGAAACACAUCAGGCAAAUUAGACUUUGGUCUAUCCAUAAAUGCACUGGUUUGAAAGAACUUUCCUCUUCACAAAUAUCUGAUAUUAUCUAUCAAGUGCAAUGAAUCCAUCCCUAAUAACGCAUUUCACAGUUGUUUUUCCUUUGCUCAUAUAUAUAUAUCACCAGGCAUCACUAUACUUGUCUGUGAUCAUGUAACAGGUCUUGAGGUUUCCUGGUAAAUAAUGAAGAUGGCAAAGUAGUUUUAGUGAAAGAAGAGACUUUUGCCUAUUCCUAGAAUCAGUACUAUCCAAAGCUUGCCUUGCUUUCUGAAACAUUAAGUUGACCUUUUUAUGGAUGUUUUUGUCUGCUUUUGUACUUCAGGAGCUGGGAAAAACAUAGAAAAAAAUGUCAGCAUUACAAAAGAAAAGUUAUAACUGGGGUAGUAGCAAAUGGAAACAGAAAUCCCUGAAAUCUGUCAAUAAAGUCUUAUACCCAUGUCAUUUCAAGUUCCAUUUUGCAGCAUUAAGGUGUUUGACUCAUUUACAUGAGAUCUGGAUAAGAGGUUAGACUCUCUGAUGUGUUUUCAAACUGAAAACAUGAACUAAAGUGAAGUUGCCAGCACUUGGGGACAAAACUAUUUGGACACUGGGUAAAUUUAAAUGUUAUAGGAAGAGUAUUCAAAAAUUCAGGAGCUGUAAACAAAUGUGGUUAUCUGAAAUUUCAUCAUCAUUUACCUUUUUACUAACCAGAUGAAUAAACCAUGAAUGUGAGAAAAAAAUCUCAUUGAUGAAAUUCCUGUCCCUAGUCUGGAAGUAGCUAUUGAAAUGUAGGGAACACAUUAUAAGGAAAAGGCCUG